AUUGAACGCUGGCGGCAGGCCUAACACAUGCAAGUCGAGCGGAUGAAGGGAGCUUGCUCCUGGAUUCAGCGGCGGACGGGUGAGUAAUUCCUAGGAAUCUGCCUGGUAGUUGGGGAUAACGUCCGGAAACGGGCGCUGAUACCGCAUACGUCCUGAGGGAGAAAGGGGGGGAUCUUCGGACCUCACGCUAUCAGAUGAGCCUAGGUCGGAUUAGCUAGUUGGUGGGGUAAAGGCCUACCAAGGCGACGAUCCGUAACUGGUCUGAGAGGAUGAUCAGUCACACUGGAACUGAGACACGGUCCAGACUCCUACGGGAGGCAGCAGUGGGGAAUAUUGGACAAUGGGCGAAAGCCUGAUCCAGCAAUGCCGCGUGUGUGAAGAAGGUCUUCGGAUUGUAAAGCACUUUAAGUUGGGAGGAAGGGAAGUAAGUUAAUACCUUGAUGUUUUGACGUUACCAAAAGAAUAAGCACCGGCUAACUUCGUG
rnacentral:rRNA from 1 species